rnacentral:rRNA from 1 species
AGGGCACCACCAGGAGUGGAGCCUGCGGCUUAAUUUGACUCAACACGGGGAAACUUACCCGGCCUGGACACUGGAAGGAUUGACAGAUUGAGAGCUCUUUCUUGAUUCAGUGGGUGGUGGUGCAUGGCCGUUCUUAGUUGGUGGAGCGAUUUGUCCGGUUAAUUCCGAUAACGAACGAGACUCUAGCCUAUUAAAUAGGCUCUCGGCUUUUAAACGCCGGGAGGACUUCUUAGAGGGACAGGUGGCGGUUCAGCCGCACGAAAGAGAGCAAUAACAGGUCUGUGAUGCCCUUUGUUGUCCGGGGCCGCACGCGCGCUACACUGAAGAGAUCAGCGUGCUUUACGUUCCUGCUCCGACCGGAGUGGGGAACCCAGUGAACCUUCUUCGUGAUUGGGAUAGAAGAUUGUAAUUAUUCUUCUUGAACGAGGAAUUCCCAGUAAAUGCGAGUCAUAAGCUCGCGUUGAUUACGUCCCUGCCCUUUGUACACACCGCCCGUCGCUACUACCGAUUGAACGAUUU